CUGCCAACGAAGCAAACCCUGUUUAAAUCUGUAAGACACCAGCCUGCUGUUCGUCUCUGGAUCAACAAUAACAACAGCAGUGCCAGGGAGGCAUUAUAAUUUGGAUGGACGGUAUACUGAGGAACCCUUGUUUUGCAGGGAGGGAGGAAUGUGACUUGACUGAUUAUGCUACAGAGGCGUUAAAGUUAUAGCUCUCCUGUGUCCUGCUCCCAGAGAUCAACCAACUUCUAUUCACCAAGCAUUGGCUGAUUCCCUCACCUGUGAGGAGAACCAUCCUUCUGCAGUUUGAACUAGCCCUGCUGUCACUAUUUAGACAUUUGGACCACAUAUGCAUUUACAUUUGCCUGUUGUCUUUUCUUUGUGGAUAUUGUGUUACACAGUCUAGUGCAUUUUAGAGUUGAAGAACACCCACUACAGAUACACGUGCUUGUUAGAGCAUCUUCAUUCGUUAGUCUCUCACCUUUGUUUCCCAUGAUCUACUCACCAAGCCCUGCAGUUUGAACUAGCCCUGCCGUCACUAUUUACAGUGCCUUCAGAAAGUAU